CCAGUUUACUUUUAUUUUUAUGUCCAUCUGUUAGUACUUACGAAUAGUACAUUAUGGCCACUCACUGUCAGGAAGAUGAUUACAGACUAUUCAGAUAACAUGCAGAUUCUUUAAGGAGCUUACAGUUGAACUUGUUGAACUUAUUGAACUGCUUCCAAAAUUCAAGAAUUUUUUUUUUGUCUAAUGUAUGUGUGCAUUUUUAGUCCUUACAUAUAAGUGGACAUUUAAAACAAAAAAUUUGUUCAGUGUAGGGAAGAAGGAAGGGAGAUGUUAAGAAUCAAAACAUCUCGCACCCUUUAUUGAUCUCUUCUGUCUUUGAUGUUCAUAUUCAUAUUGAAACAUAAAAUGACUAUACUUAUCAAGAGUAGAGGGAAGAAAUUAGAAACAAAUUAGCCUGAAAGUAAUUGUCUAUUCCUCUCCUUAGUUCAUUUUUUCCUUCUUGUCUUCCUCUUCUGUCACCUCCCAGCAGCCUGGUAUUUGAUUAAAAUGGUUAACUGUGAGGGCAAAAAUGGGCACUUAAGAAUGUAACAUAAUAUGGUAAAAGCUUUGCUUGUGGGUAUGUAGAUAGAAACAGGCUAGCCUGUAAGCCACUUGGAUGCAUGGUUUGUAUGAUUUUCUAUUGUCCUGCUACGUAUAUCACCACGUAGGAGGAAAGGAAGCAGCAAAAUGCCAAGCCUUAAAAGUGGGCUUGGAGAAAGUCUUGAAGUUUACUGAAUUGAAGGGGAUGCCUCUUAUUAUAUCAGCGAGUAGCAGGAACUGGUAUCACAUACUGGUGUGGUUCUGUCAAGCAUUCAUUAAACUUCACUUAAGAGCGAUGUGGUGGAAGAGGAGGACCACUGCAUACCAGGCUUUGGCCAGUAGAGGGCAAUGCGUGCGUGCUCUCUCUGCAUGUAUGCAUGUAGACACAUAUAUAUAAUUUUGUAUACAGAUAUAUACUAUGUAUAUAAAAAGAGACAGAGCAGUAAGCCUUAGUGGAUUGUCUCCAUGGUUCAUUUCACUCCUCCCCGCUCAGUCACCACUUAGGAAGCGGAUUCUGAGUUUGCAUCUCUGUUGUAAAUAUGAAUUCACUGAUGAAUUGGAUCAGCUAGCUCCCAGCAUUGUCUGUACGUGUGACAGAAAGCUUUGUGGUGGUGUUGAGCAUAUGGAACCUGGUAAAUACUGACCAGCUGACAGGGCAGGCAAGGUUACAGAUUUAGGGACGGGGUAUUCCAGGUUUGGUGUUACUGGCAGUUUCCUCCCUGCCUUGAAGAAAGCCUCUAACUGUUGAUUAAAACAACGGUGCACAGUCACAUGUUACUUUUCAGAGGAAAAAAAAAAGUAGGCUGUAUAUUCAUUUAAUGGAAUUGAGUGUUAUAUCCUAAGAAUUAAAGCUGGUUUUGAGCAGAUAUUUAGAAAGUACUUCAAGGCAAUUUCAGGUGAUGAAAUCCUGUUUUAAAGCAAGUUUGAACUGUAGAAGUAGUUUGGACUGUAGAACCGCUGGAUCAAGAUACAAUCAUUUGAAUUGAGACAAGUGCCCUUUGGAGACCCUGCUUUAGAAGAACUAUGUUCAGAGCGUAACCCCACACUUAUUAAGCUUUGUCUUAGUAGUGAAAGCAGUUGCUCAAAUAUGAUAGUUCAAAUAAGAUUUUGUGGCAGAAUCUAUAUGCAGAAAUCUAUCACUCUUUAAAAUUUUUUCUCUGCAAGUUUUAUCCCAGUAAUUACACAGGCUGUCUUCUAUCACUGAUAUGUGUAAGGGUAUCUAAUAUUUUUCUACUGAUCCUUACCUAGGUCAUUAUAGAUCUUAAUUAUACUUCUAUACCAGUUCUUGUACAGAGCCAAGUAUUCCCCUCUGUUACUUGAUAUUCUGUGUUAUUAAAACCAAUUAAAUUGUAUAAUGGAGUCAUGAGACCAAGAAGCUUGUUGUCUCAAAAGGAUCAACUGCAUGGUAUAUUAGCCUUCUCAACUACUAUUUUUCAUUUUGUUUCCCAUUUAACCCACAGUAGCUUCAAGAUGGCAUGGAACAUCUACUUCCAUCAGGUGAUACAUAUUUGCCCCUUAUAACAGGCUAAAUUUGGGGAAAAGGUGUUAGGCUGUCUUGUAGUCAACUCUAAUUAGGGAAAUUGUAAUUGCAUCUCCAUUUUUCUUCUGGGACAUCUUUGAAUUAUAGGCAUUAAACACCAGCAAUUCAGGUAAAGACGAGUGCUAUAAGAUUUUGCUCAAGGGAUCUUAAGGGCAUUGAUACUGGCUAGAAUACACCUCAGAGAAUCACAAAGCAACACAGUGUUCUGGAUCGCUUCAUGUAGCGUUCUUGUGAAGUGAGAUAGCAAAGAAAUAAAACCUGACUGAGUUACAUUGCUUGUUUAAAAACUUCCACUGUUCACUGUUGUUAAACUUACGUGGCCACAAAUGACAAGAAAAAUGCUAAAAUUACCUAAAAUAACAUAACUAAGUGCAUGGUUUUAUUUGCCAUGCAAAUACAUGAGAUAUAUAUAUAUAUGUAUAUAACAUGGGACAAUGUGUGACGACCCAAUUAGAGAAAUGUUUUUCUCUUGUUUGGAAGGAAUUAGAAGUUUCUGGAAGCAACAAUAUACAAAAGAGUGCAUGUAUGUUUUUAAUACCUGCAGCUAAUCCGAAGAUCCUCUUAUAUCAAAUGUUCAGGUUCUUUUCUCCAUGCUAUUUACAAGUCAGUACCUGCGUUAUAGUAACAGCACUCUUGCCUAGAGAUGAGAUUACCUCAUACUUUCUGAUUAAUUUGCAAAUACAUAGUUCUGUGUAUUCUCUUACUCUUCUGAAUGUGAACAUGUGAAAAUCAGCAGAGAGUUUCUCCUGUCACAGAGGAAACCACCUUGUGUCCCAAGUAACCCAGCUGGGCUACGUGUUUCUUGUGACACUUAUUGUCAUAGUGUCUUAAAGGAUCAGAGGCUGUUGUAGCCUUACUUCACCCUUGAUUUGUUGAUUAUCCUCCAGUCUCUUUACUUCCGAUGUAAACUAUCUUCUCUUCUGUGACCAUCCUUGUUUCUUUGUCUGCUCUUUUUUACUGUGAGGAUAGAGAGUCUCUGGAAGCAAAAGACGACAAAAGUACCCACCAAGCAGGAAAUACAUUCACACAAUGUACACAUGGCUUUUAAAAUUCUUUGCCACAAGACAGCAUGGAGGCUAAUGGUGAAAGCAGUCAGCGUUAUAUAAUAGUAAGAAUUUGGAAGAAUUUCCCCCAAAGUUUGGAAGUGAUAGUAGGUGUUCAUGUUGUGUCAUAGCAAACUUUGACUGCAGUUCAAAUAUAACUGAGUAGUCUGUCACAGCCCCUGGAGCAGUUCUGCUAGUGUCCUUGGUAGCGGCAGUGAUGGUGUUAGAAGUAGUGACGAGGUGCAGUAUGGCGCAGACUGGUGCAAUGAGUUAGGAGAGUGUUUUUUGUAUUUUUUUUUUUUUUAGAGGAGUUUGAAUGUGUCUUUGCAUGGAAUUAUUCGUGCUGAAUGGCAUUGUGAAACAGCAAGGUUAGACCAUGGAAAAAUGGUAUAUCAGUAGAACACUUUAAAUCAUUAGUUGGAAGGGUCUUCCAGAGGUGAGGUAGGCCUGUGCCCUGCUCAUAGCUGGUCUGUUUAGGCCAACUUGCUGAGGGCUUUGUCCAGAUAGGUCUUGAACAGCUGCCAGAAUGGACGUUUCCCAACUUUUCUGGGCACCUGUUCUGGUAUUUGACCAGUGUCACGGUAAACAAAAACUGCCCAGAACCAGAAAGUCCUUCAGACAUGGUGAACUAAUAGUGAACUGAAAUUUCCCAUGUUCCAACCUGUUACCUGUUGUUGUAUUGCUAUGCACUGGCUCCAUCUUUGUAACCUCUCCUCAAGUUUUAGGCAGCAAUAAGGCUCCUGUAAACCUUAUUUACAUAAACCCAAACAAACUCACUUUUCUGAGCUUCUGUUUGUGUGUCAUGUGCUCUAUCCCCAACUGUCUUAGUGAUUCUCUCUGCUGGACUUGCUCCAGUAUGUCAGUGGUUUUCUUGUGAGGGCAGAGCCCACAGCUGGACACAACACGGCAGCUGCAGCUUCACAAGUGCCAAACAGGGAAAAGAUCACUUCUCUGGACCUGUCACCUUCAGGUCCUUCUGAAUAGCAACCCUUCCCUUCAGUGUAUUGUCCGCUCCCUCAGCUUGGUGUCACCAGCAAACUUGCUGAAUGUUCACUCCGUUUUGUCACCCAGGUUGCUAAUGAAGACAGUGAGUGGUACUGGUCUCAGCUGUGGUCUCUGAGGGGAUGCCACUAGUUACUGGUGGCCAACAGCUGUGCUUUGCAUCACUGAUCACUGCUGUGCUUUGAGCCUGGUAGUCCCAGCCAAAUUUUCUUACAUGUUACCUACUUAUACAAACCAUGUCUCACAUCUCUGGUGAUAAGGAAGCUAUGGCAGAAUGUGUGAAAGUUGUCAUUGAAGUCAAGGUGCACAACAUCUGUGCUCCUCCCUGUGUGUUGAAAGCACCCAUUGCUUCAUACUGAAAGCGGUGACAUUGGUGAGGCAUCAUGUUCCCUUGGUAAACCCCUUUCUCUGUUCCCAUUUAGUUUCUUGUCCUUGAUGUGUUUAUAAAUGGCUUCUAACAGGAUUUGUUACACAAGUUUUUCAGGGACUGAAGCGUUGUCUCAGUUAUUGGGUAGAUGAAGUCUUUCACUGGAGUAGUUACUGUACUAUAGAUGGAACAACUGCUGUAAUUGAAAUAUUUUGUGAAUUCUCUUCAAUGGCUGUUUUGUGCCGUUUGUAUUUGUAGUGGACAAGCUUCUGGGUCUUAAUUUGGGUGAUAAUAACACUGGAAACUGUGAGCAGAAGACUAAAGACAGUGUAUGUGUAGUUCAUCUAAAGGUAAAAUCUUCAAUUUUCUUCCCAUCAUCUGUGUUUUCCUGGAUUACAUCUUUCCCUACAUUUCCUAAUUUGUGCCUGGCAGUCACUGGAGUAUACCUUUUAUCAGAAAGGCAGCUUACUUUCAUGCCUUGUGAAUCAAUGAGCUGUGGAAGUACAUAGUCAACAACCUGCACUGAGACAGAGCAAGUUGCAUCCCCUGUGCAUCAGUCUUUAAUGAGUAGAAAAGUAAGUGCAUUGUUAAACUAAGGUUCCUGGAUUUUGGGGAGUUUAAAUGAAAAAUGGUUGGAGUCCUUGUUGGAGGGUCCUGUGAAGAACAGCAGUUUUGUAAAAUUAUUCUUCAUGUUGUUGUUGUUAUUACGUAGAAGAGAUUCUCUACUAAAAGAGAAAAUGGACAUUCAUUAUUUAAGUUCUUCAGGCAGUACAAAAUCUAUAGUAUGAUUCAAUUUUUUCCAUUCUGAAAAAUUAUUUUUAGCUGGAUUUCUGCCAGCUAAAACAUGAAAAAAGCUGGCCUUGGGUUGGAUGCACCUCUGCCAUUGGCUAAAAAUACAAAGAAAACUGUUAUGGAUUUGUCUUUUCAAGCUAUCUGCUCCUCUGCUCCAUACUGCAACGCUCACGUGGCCCAUAAAUGUCACAAUUUCUUCUACCACAUGUUGCUCCUGACAUGUAAAUUUUGUUUCCUGUAGUGUUUCCCACAUGCUGCUUUAAACUUCUGUACUUAAAUAGCAUUGAGCUUGGGCUGGUCAUAAUGCAGGAAGAAUUCAGUUCUGAAAUGGGAGGGCCUCAUGAGCUGCCAUGCUGGCAGUGGUACUGUUUUUGAUACCAAAAGGGUUGGAGCUCAGGUGCCUCUGAUUAUUUUCAGUGCAGCAGAAUGAUGGGGAGAGAGCGGUAUCAGAGAUAACAGCAGAAUAUAUUUUGCUAUUUUUGAUGUGGCCUUUCAGACUGACUGCUCAUGUCCAGAGUGGCUGAGAUGUUUUCAACUGACUGACUGCAGCAUUACACGGGCCGCUAGUUCAGAUACUGGAAUACAAAUGCCACAUGCAUUAACAAAAAUCUGCAUCGUACUGGUCUGAAGAAAGUGUAAUUUCCUGCCGCGUACACAGUCAUGUUCUGUUUUACCAGUGGCUCACGUUUGUUAGCAAGAAUAACAUCCAAAAGGAGACAUUAGUCUCCUAUGUGGAGGAGGAGGUGAGAGCUGGCUUUGGUUAGAAGUGCUUUUAGACAUGCAAAUGACUCUUAGGGGUACCUUCAGGUAUAAAUAAGUUCAGGUCGUCCUCCAUAUUUCCUAUUACGUCCUUUUAAAAAUAUAUUUGACCAGGAAUUUGUAUGUAUGUGUAUUUUGUGUCAGAGGUGUUUCUUUGAUGGAGAGAUGUGUGCAUGUAUGAUGAGUGAUCUUUGGGCUUACUGUAUUGGUCUUAACCAUAUGCCGUUUGUUCUUUCUAGUGAAGCAUGUGCAACUUACUGUGCUGGUUAACUAUCGUUAUUUUUAUUAUUAAUUAGGUUCCAGUGCUUUGAAAUGAAAUUCUCUUUGAACAUCAUGCUGCUUACAUAAAAACAAUCUGAAGUGAUAGGAUCUGCUCAAAGGUGGAGCCACCUGCUUGAAUUUGUAGUUGUGAUCUGGAAGACCUGUCUGUGCCAGACCUUCAGCCUUGUUUAAGCAACUUCACUUUGGCAUCAUUGCAUCUGUUCAACUUUGUUGCCUUAAAAGAAGUACGCAGCAUUCAGGGAAAACAUUGUGGGAUGGACUUUCCUGUCACCGCUCCAUACAUUUUGGGUUUUUAUUCUCGUGUACUCUUGAAGGCUGGGCUGUGAAGCCAGGCUGCAUGAAUCCCGUUUUUUAGUAUCAACUGACGAUCAGAGGGAAAUUUCUCCCAAGGCAGAGCAACUUCUUGGA